rnacentral:lncRNA from 1 species
UUUAUUGAAAUUUGAGGCAUCAAAAUAUUGUUCUCCUUUUUCUUCUUCAGUUGCUUCACCAUUUCUUCACUUAUGUUAUGUGACAAUCUUUGUGUUUCAAAUUGAAGCGACAUCUGCAUUUCCUUCAUCAUUUUAAUUCAUUUAAGUCACAAUUGAAGCGACAUGCUAACAAUCUUAUUGAUGAAAUGUCCACAGGAUGGUGUUGAACUUUAUAUAUUUAAUUUCCAGUGCAGGUUUAGUUUUUAAGCUUAUAAUUAGGAGCAAUUAGCAGAAUAAGAAACAAAGCAGCUGAUUCUUUGAGUUGGCGUAAAUAUGCAUUGAACAGUGUAAGGAACUAUAUGUACCUGGAGCUAAAUUCAUGGUUCGAUGCUGCACAGUUUGGUGAUGAACUCAAGUUCAUAAUUUCUUGUUUUUUGAUAAGAUGGACAAAGUUGUUAUAAGCUAUGGACUUAUUGGAAAUGUUCUGUUCUGACUACUUUUGGUAUGAAAAUCAGUUAUCCACCAUCCAUAUGUUGCUUUUCGCCUCUGCAUCAUCAUAUCUUACCAUACCCAUAACUUGUUUUCUCGUUCUCAGGGCACUGAGCAUUUCUCCCACAAUUCACUUGCAAUGGUGGCAGAUAUGGUGAUUUCUGGACAUUGUUAUUUUGCUCUCAGCAUUCUUGGCACAGCACUGAUAACAAUAUAAUGCAUAACAACUUUGUGCUCCUGUUCUCUGGAGUCCUCUACUACCACUAAUCUAACUAGUU